AGAGUUUGAUCAUGGCUCAGGAUGAACGCUAGCGGGAGGCUUAACACAUGCAAGUCGAGGGGCAGCACGAGGUAGCAAUACUUUGGUGGCGACCGGCGCACGGGUGAGUAACGCGUAUGUAACCUACCUUGUACAGGGGGAUAGCCCGGAGAAAUUCGGAUUAAUACCCCAUAAAGAUAUUUUGGGGCAUCUUAAGAUAUUUAAAGUUUCGACGGUACGGGAUGGGCAUGCGUAACAUUAGCUAGUUGGUAGGGUAACGGCCUACCAAGGCUACGAUGUUUAGGGGUCCUGAGAGGGUGAUCCCCCACACUGGUACUGAGACACGGACCAGACUCCUACGGGAGGCAGCAGUGAGGAAUAUUGGUCAAUGGGCGCAAGCCUGAACCAGCCAUCCCGCGUGCAGGAAGACGGCGCUAUGCGUUGUAAACUGCUUUUCCAGGGGAAGAAAACCCGCUACGAGUAGCGGCUUGCCGGUACCCUGGGAAUAAGCAUCGGCUAACUCCGUGCCAGCAGCCGCGGUAAUACGGAGGAUGCGAGCGUUAUCCGGAUUUAUUGGGUUUAAAGGGUGCGUAGGCGGAUUAAUAAGUCAGUGGUGAAAACCUGCAGCUUAACUGUAGAACUGCCAUUGAUACUGUUAGUCUUGAGUACGGUCAAGGUAGGCGGAAUGUGUAAUGUAGCGGUGAAAUGCUUAGAUAUUACACAGAACACCGAUUGCGAAGGCAGCUUACUGGGCCAUUACUGACGCUGAUGCACGAAAGCGUGGGGAGCGAACAGGAUUAGAUACCCUAGUAGUCC
rnacentral:rRNA from 1 species